rnacentral:rRNA from 1 species
CGCCCGUCGCUCCUACCGAUUGAAUGGUCCGGUGAAGUUUUCGGAUUGGUGGCUCCAGGCGGUUCGCCGCUCGGGGCAACCGAGAAGUUCGUUAAACCCUCCCACCUAGAGGAAGGAGAAGUCGUAACAAGGUUUCC